rnacentral:rRNA from 1 species
GAUGAACGCUGGCGGCGUGCCUAAUACAUGCAAGUCGAGCGAACGGACGAGAAGCUUGCUUCUCUGGUGUUAGCGGCGGACGGGUGAGUAACACGUGGAUAACCUACCUAUAAGACUGGGAUAACCUCGGGAAACCGGAGCUAAUACCGGAUGAUAUUUUGAACCGCAUGGUUCAAAAGUGAAAGACGGUCUUGCUGUCACUUAUAGAUGGAUCCGCGCUGCAUUAGCUAGUUGGUAAGGUAACGGCUUACCAAGGCAACGAUGCAUAGCCGACCUGAGAGGGUGAUCGGCCACACUGGAACUGAGACACGGUCCAGACUCCUACGGGAGGCAGCAGUAGGGAAUCUUCCGCAAUGGGCGAAAGCCUGACGGAGCAACGCCGCGUGAGUGAUGAAGGUCUUCGGAUCGUAAAACUCUGUUAUUAGGGAAGAACAUAUGUGUAAGUAACUGUGCACAUCUUGACGGUACCUAAUCAGAAAGCAACGGCUAACUACGUG